rnacentral:rRNA from 1 species
UACGAAGGGGGCUAGCGUUGCUCGGAAUUACUGGGCGUAAAGGGCGCGUAGGCGGGUCGUUUAGUUAGAGGUGAAAGCCCAGGGCUCAACCCUGGAAUUGCCUUUAAUACUGGCGGCCUUGAGUAUGGCAGAGGUGUGUGGAACUCCGAGUGUAGAGGUGAAAUUCGUAGAUACCCGGAGGAACACCAGUGGCGAAGGCGGCUUCCUGGUCUGCGACUGACGCUGUGGCGCGAAAGCUAGGGGAGCAAACGGG